CUGGGUGCUGCAGAUGGUUAAUGCAUUUGGCUGCUAACCAAAAGGUUGGAGGUUCGAGUCCACCCAGA
rnacentral:tRNA from 1 species